UUUAUCUCCUAUCACUUCUUGGGCGGAGAGCUCCGAUAACCAUGUGAUUCUUCCCCUGAGGCUGGGGAGGUGGUGCCAGUACAGAGGGUACCAGAGGGCUAGUCUCCGCCCCUGGCCUUCAGGAGCUCAGCAGUAGUCACACACAGUGCACUAAGGCAAGAUAGGUGAACAAGCCCUGUUGCCUAAUUCAGGAGGAGCCGUAAACUUGGCCUGGGAGCUAGGAGGGUGGAUCUAUACAGGGACUGUUCACGCAAAGACACACAGUGGGAAAAUCCAAAAGAAAGAGAAUCCUUUCAUGUGGCUUGUGGGAGAGUUUAAGGGAGAAGGCUGGCGGUCCCGUCGGAGAGGUAUCCACCUGGUCAGGUGUGAUUCAUGAAAACAAAAAAGAUCAAACUCACAGCCCCUGGGAGAUUUGCCAGCCAAGGGGAGCCUCUCACACCCACACCGCUGUCCACUGAGCUCUCCUCCCUCUGGGUCUCACUGCUCCUUCUCACCAGAGAGACUGAAGUGUUGGCAGCUAUCACAGCUCUACCGUACAGGAGGAAACGCCAAAAUGCAGACAGGGCCAAGGCUGAAAAAUACGGAUCUUCUGCCCCAUCCUUCCUGCUUCCUAGGUAUUGACCUUGGGCAAGUUACUACCCUCCGCGCCUCAGUUUCCUCCGCUGUAAAAUUGGAUUGGAGAUUGUGCUUUCCUCAGAGGGAGGCGAAGAGGAUCAGGAAGGCCAAGCACGGAAUGGACUUCCCUCUGGACCACAUAGAUGUGACACUAUCUAGAAACAGCAGCCAUCAUCAACCACAGCCUAGGGUCCUCAGUCCUCUCUCCAAACCCUUGAGUCCAAAUGUGAUUGCAAUUAGAAAGUCGACACGGUGCACAUAUAGUAUGUUACAUAUCACCCCAUAGGAUCUGGAC